rnacentral:rRNA from 1 species
CCUGCCAGAAUCAUAUGCUUGUCCCGAAGCUUAAGCCAUGCAUGUGUCAGAACAAUAGUAGCUUGAUCUAGAAUCUGCGAACGGCUCCGUAUAUCUGUUAUAACCUACCGCCGCUCAAAACCAGCGGCAUAACCACGGUAAUUCUGUGGCUAAUACGUGUACUACGGGCGCUGCCGGGCGCAAGCCUGGCGGCCCUGGUCUUGCCGGUCGACCAACGGCGGGUAAAACCGCUCGCGUGAGAGCUGGCAAGGGUACCUGACCGCGGCACCAGCUGCGGCACGAGCGGUGGGCAUCAGACCUAUCAACUAGAUGCCCAGGUAUUGUCUGGGCAUGGUGAUAACGGGUACAGAGGAUCAGGGUUCGGUCCUGGAGAGGUAGCCUGAGAGAUCGCUACUACUUCUAAGGAAGGCAGCAGGCGCGCAACGUUCCCAAUGGGGGCACCCUGAGGACGUGAAGGGACAUAUCAAUGCCCGGCCCUUAAAGCCGGGCAAUUGAAAUGGGGGACCUUUAAACCCCACACCGAGUAACAAUUGGAGGACAAGUCUGGUGCCAGCACCCGCGGUAAUUCCAGCUCCAAUAGCAUCUUGUUAAGUUGUUGCAGUUAAAACGCUCGUAGUCAAAGCCAGUGCGUCCCCUGGGCUCCUAGUACUGCGGUGCGCCCGCCUCGCCCCUAGCGGGGCCGAGGCGGGACCCGUGGGAGCGUUGUUCGGAGGCCACUAUUACGCUGGGGGAACCGGACGGGCGGGGCUUCAGUGUCCCGACCGCCCACCCUCGGCACUUUACUUUGAACAAACGUGAGCGCUCGAAGCAGGCCAUAUCGGCCCUUGAAACCCGCAGCAAAGAAUAAUGAAGCAGGAACCCCGCCUGCUCGUGCAGCAAAGAAUAAUGAAGCAGGAACCCCGCCUGCUCGUUGGUUAAGGUCGGGUUAAUGAUCUAUAGGGGCGAUCGGGGCGAGCCACAUGGCGGGGGUAGGGGUGAAAUCCGUUGAUCCUCGCCAGGUGAACUAAAGCGAAGGCAGCUCGCAAGUACGCUUUCUUUGAUCAAGAACGAAAGUCUGGGGAUCGAAGAUGAUCAGAUACCAUCGUAGUCCAGACCCUAAAUCAUGCCGGCCAUGGAUGGGCUCUCGUCCAUCCCGACCCAGCCCGCACUUUAUAGGAAAC